UACAGAGGGUGCGAGCGUUAAUCGGAAUUACUGGGCGUAAAGCGUGCGUAGACGGCUAUCUAAGUCGGGUGUGAAAGCCCCGGGCUCAACCUGGGAAUUGCAUUCGAGACUGAAUAGCUAGGGUACGGUAGAGGGAAGCGGAAUUUCCGGUGUAGCGGUGAAAUGCGUGGAUAUCGGAAGGAACAUCAGUGGCGAAAGCGGCUUCCUGGACCAGUACCGACGUUCAGGCACGAAAGCGUGGGGAGCAAACAGG
rnacentral:rRNA from 1 species